AGAUUCCAUGUAAGUGCAUACCCUACUCCUACAGUGAACUUACUGCAGCCAAUCUACACUACAAGGACCCAUAUGGCUAGAGACCAUGUAUACGUAUAGUCAAACUACAAUAACCUCACUGUGAGUAGCCGAAGCACCGCAGGUCAAAGGACCAGUCAUACUACUGCAACAUCAAGCAAGUCACUGACGAGUGGAUAGACAUCCAAGUGACUUCUUGUCUUGGUCACGCUCAGUACCCUUGUUCUCUAACAAGCACCUGCACUAUCACUUCAGUGUCCCUACACUGUGGACUCGAGUCUCGUCCAACCAGAAGAAAAGUGAUCUGUGCACUGAUCGGAUCGAUCACCGUCCUCGUGAUGAUCCAUUGAUCAAGAGCAUUUAGAAAUUAAUCACCAAUGAUACAUGGCUCAAAUUCUCAACUCUUGAAAAUAUGUAUCAUCAUCUUAUUAAUUUCUUGGACGAUUCAUAGACACAUAAAAAAUAUGAAUGAAAAAGAUGCCCAUUUAUUAUUCAAUAAUAAUAAAGUCAAGUACAAAUUUAUGUCCUAGAAGUAAUAAUGUGUCCGC
rnacentral:lncRNA from 1 species